GACGAACGCUGGCGGCGCGCCUAACACAUGCAAGUCGAACGAGCGAGAGAGAGCUUGCUUUCUCGAGCGAGUGGCGAACGGGUGAGUAACGCGUGAGGAACCUGCCUCAAAGAGGGGGACAACAGUUGGAAACGACUGCUAAUACCGCAUAAGCCCACGGUGCCGCAUGGCACAGAGGGAAAAGGAGCAAUCCGCUUUGAGAUGGCCUCGCGUCCGAUUAGCUAGUUGGUGAGGUAAUGGCCCACCAAGGCAACGAUCGGUAGCCGGACUGAGAGGUUGAACGGCCACAUUGGGACUGAGACACGGCCCAGACUCCUACGGGAGGCAGCAGUGGGGAAUAUUGCACAAUGGGGGAAACCCUGAUGCAGCGACGCCGCGUGGAGGAAGAAGGUCUUCGGAUUGUAAACUCCUGUUGUUGGGGAAGAUAAUGACGGUACC
rnacentral:rRNA from 1 species